rnacentral:tRNA from 1 species
GCCUCUAUAGUUAAACACAUAACAAUAAACUUUCUCUUUAUAAUUCCUUUUUAAGGUAGAGACUUA